ACAUAGUGGCAGACGGGUGAGUAACGCGUGGGAACGUGCCCUUCACUACGGAAUAGCUUCUGGAAACGGAAGGUAAUACCGUAUACGCCCUUCGGGGGAAAGAUUUAUCGGUGAAGGAUCGGCCCGCGUUAGAUUAGAUAGUUGGUGGGGUAAUGGCCUACCAAGUCUACGAUCUAUAGCUGGUCUGAGAGGAUGAUCAGCCACACUGGGACUGAGACACGGCCCAGACUCCUACGGGAGGCAGCAGUGGGGAAUCUUGCACAAUGGGCGAAAGCCUGAUGCAGCCAUGCCGCGUGAAUGAUGAAGGCCUUAGGGUUGUAAAAUUCUUUCGCCAGGGAUGAUAAUGACAGUACCUGGUAAAGAAGCCCCGGCUAACUUCGUGCCAGCAGCCGCGGUAAUACGAAGGGGGCUAGCGUUGUUCGGAAUUACUGGGCGUAAAGCGCGCGUAGGCGGGCUAUUAAGCCAGAUGUGAAAGCCCGGGGCUCAACCCCGGAAUUGCAUUUGGAACUGGUAGCCUAGAGACCAGGAGAGGUUAGCGGAAUACCGAGUGUAGAGGUGAAAUUCGUAGAUAUUCGGUGGAACACCAGUGGCGAAGGCGGCUAACUGGACUGGUACUGACGCUGAGGCGCGAAAGUGUGGGGAGCAAACAGGAUUAGAUACCCUGGUAGUCCACACCGUAAACGAUGAAUGCUAGUUGUCUGCGCGCAUGCGUGCAGGUGACGCAGCUAACGCAUUAAGCAUUCCGCCUGGGGAGUACGGC
rnacentral:rRNA from 1 species